AUGGCAAACUUCCUCAACCAGCUGGGCAACCAGGGCAUCGCAGAGGUUGUCGGAAAGAAAGCGGACGACGGACAGAAAAGAUUUAACAGUAUAGAAUGUCAGUAUCACAGAGAGAUCGGGCUAUUUGCUGCAGCGUUUGCUUUAACCCCCGGGGGGGAGCAGGCAGGUUGUCGGGUAACAUCAGGCGAAGUGGUGGAGAACACGGUGAAGAGUGUUCUUGGGAAAAGUGAAGAGAACAAGGAGGAGGGGAAGUCAGGAGGAUUCGAUGCAGGAGACGUCCUCUCACUGGUCGGCGGUAAAAAAGACGACAACAAGGGAGGAUUCGAUGCAGGAGACGUCCUCUCACUGGUCGGCGGUGGCAGUAAGGGAGAAGAAGGAGGAGGCCUGGAUGUGAAGAACGUUGUUGGAGGACUCUUUAAGUAG
rnacentral:lncRNA from 15 species